GCCCUCGUAGCUCAGCGGAUAGAGCACUGGCCUCCGGAGCCAGGUGCGCAGGUUCGAGUCCUGCCGAGGGCG
rnacentral:tRNA from 1 species